rnacentral:misc_RNA from 1 species
AGUAGUGCUUUCUCUCUCACAGAAAAAUAGAACUUUCUUAUAAUAUAAAGAGUGGGUUUUAUAUAAUUAUGAGAGACAGUACAUACAGAGAUUAUUAAGUACACUCAAUUCAAAUAUACUUUCACCCUUCACUAUGAAAAUAUGGGUAUUGCCUCUACAUAAUUAAAAAAAAAUUAUUUUGUUGUGUUUAAAUGAGGAUUAUUUUUUAAUAUUCCAAUGUAUCUAAUAUAUCUAAUAAUCACUCAAAAAGAGAGCCACAUCGAAUGUAGAAACAAUUAAAAAGGACAAGUCGAAUGAUCUGAUAUUGAGGCGAGCAGACAUCAAUCAAGUCAAGUGGAAAUCGUCUCAAUAUCAUCUGACCUAGAUGAAAGAACUAACGUCUAAUGUCUAAUGGGAUAGGAUAUCCACCAUCACCAUAUUCAUUUUGACACACUCAAUGAAAGAAACUAUGUUGGAUCACGCUCGUUUCGCUCAAAGCAGAAAACUCUACUGUCACUCUUAAUAGUUUAUCAUGACAACCUAUUGAGU